ACUUGAGGCUGUGGAAGCCGCGUGCCUGGGGCGUAGACAGGGCUUAGAUCUUUUAGAAGAAAAGAAACCGAUUGCGGUAAAUCCUCUGGACUACGCCGGGUCCUCGGAAGCUGUGCGCUAACCAAAAUCCCCGACGCUGGCAGUUGCCAUUGUUCCCCAGAGGCAUCCACACUAAUGGGACCCAAGUAUUGUGCAGCUUCAUUUUACAGUGAGGAAACUCGGUGUAUGCAGGAUAGGGAACUCUACAUGGACCACAGAAGGCAAAAGCCUGCUGCUUUCCUGUGCAGGGUGGAGUGUACUAAGUUAGCAUCCUGUGAUGUACUUGCCCCAGCCAGCAACAGCAGAGAAGCACACAGGUAACACAGCUCCUUGAAGUUGGACCCUCCAGUGUUGUGUCAUUUGCCUUUCUUUUCUCAAGGGUUGUUGAAGAACCAAGACCAGGUACAUUUCAGCAGUUUCAUGCCCAAUGGUAUCCUGAAGCAGACGUAUACAGUGAUGGCCUGAGAGUCAUCUGGCCAGUGCUCCCAGGCACUGCCUGCCAGUAGCCCCAACCACAUCUGUGCAGCACAGUCCUCAGGACCUACACCAACAUCCCUUGAAAAAACAACAGUGUCUUUGUGGGUUUUAGGGGUUUUUUGUUGUUUUGUUGUUUUUUACAUGAAGAGUAGUCUAAACAAAAAUUUACAAAGCUCACUGAACUUAAAAUACUCUGGAAGUGUUGAUCAGCAAGAAGGCUGUGCUUUCAAACCAAAACAUGCCACAGAUGGCACCCAAAAGCAGGCAAUCUGUGAGCCUUCAGUGUGCUGUACACUCCUGGCUGAUAUUGUUUAGGACACCUGUGAACAGAAUGAGUGCUACAGGGCAUGCUCUGGGAGAAACAGUCUCUUCAUCUUCCUUGCCUCAAUAAGCCAGGGAGCCUGGUGGGCUUCCCAGUGUCAUUAGCCGUGUGGAUCAUGUGGUCUCCUGGGAUGCCUGGUUUAGGUAGCCUCAAAGUUUCCCACUCACAGCUUUCUUGGAGAAAGGACAGUGGGGCAGAUCCCACAACCACUGUCACCACUUAUAAAAAGCAUUUCCCUUAUAAAUGGGACCCACCUGCUCCCUAAGGAAUUUCUAGGACCUAAGUAGCCUAUCACAAUCCAAGUGUCUCUGCCUGCCCUGAAAUAAGCCAAGAACUCUGAUAAGCAGAACAUGCCACAACUUGGCCCAGGAGAUGAGAAACCCAGCCGGGGUGCAAGCAGCAUGCAGACUACUCACUGUACCCCAUAAAGCACUCCAGAGCAUGGAACUGCAGCAGAAAUUGAAAUCUGAGUGCACAGCUAACCUCUUCAGCAACAGAAGCUACCUGAGAGCAAAGAGAAUGGCUCUGUACAACACCCACACACUGUCCUUUGGCUUUUGGUCAGGACUCCACAGACUGUCCAGUGCACAGGCCCUUCUUGAGUGCAUGGAGCUCCCAUGAGUGUCAUCUGUGAGUUUGCCACUGCUCUACCCAUGUAACUGGAAAACUUGUAAGCCAGACACAACUUUCCAUUUCUACCAUCAAUCCUCACAGGAGGGUUUUGGUGUCUAAGUGUCUGAGGACAGCAAGUUGGGUGGGAGUCCUCUACCUGGCCUCUCUUUGAUAGAAGAGUUGCUAAGAACACCAGCUGCAGGAGACUGGAAAUGACCCAACACCAUGGGAGGAAACACAGUACUUGGUCCACACCUUGUGCAGAAGGCAGAUCUCAAACAAGAGCAAGCCAGCUUUCCAGGAACUGUUUAAGAAGCAGGCUCCAGAGCCAGCUGAAUACAGGCAGUGAAGCUGUGUGUAUACUCAGGCUGUUAAGAACAGAUGGUGGGAGCCACCUGGUAUCCUGCACUAGCCCAAAGCACAACCAGGUGCCUGCCUGAGCCCAGCUCCUCUCCCAGGAGCCUGGGAAACCACAGACAACAUAUUGUGCAUUAACCAGGCCAUGCAGAAACACCCACAGGAACCCGGCCUGGCUUCUAGGGCAGCUUCAUGAUACAGAAAGUCCCUACAUGCCUGCCUAUGUACACAUCAUACACAUGAAUAAGUAAAUAAAUGUUAUUUAUAUAAAUAGCUUUUACAGCCCAUCCUGCUGUCCUCAGACACUUGGUCACCAUAACCCCAUCUGCCUGAGACCAAUGGCAUAGAACUUACUACACAAUUCACCUAGAACUGUCUUCAGAGCAGCUGAAGGUGACCAAAGCACUUUGGAGGCACCACACAAGGACAGCUCCCUGUCACCUAGUGGAAACAAGAUGCAUUAACUGGGGACAGGCAGGCAGUGCUCAGGGACCAAGCACCAUGAGCUCCACUCAGCAUGACAUGUGUCUCUAUACACACCAGGGUGCCAGCUAGCCUGGCUCAUGACCAACCUCAUUUGCUCCCUGUGCAGUUGGCACAUACCUGCCUCCAUAAUGUUAGUGUCAUCAGUAAGAUGUGGACACUUGUGUGAACAAGCAAGGAAAGAAAGCAGUAGAGAGGAGAGGAGAUGGGGCAGAUAGGUGGCUAUCAUCUGAAAAGCAGGUUAAGUGGGUAGAGUAAGGCCAAAAGGGAAAGCCCAAACCACAGUAAACAGAUAAAGCAGCUAGCCCUGGAGAACCCCAGUCACUGAAAAGAGCAAUCAGUUCUAAUCAGCUCUGGACAGGAGGUUCUGGCCAAUGCAAGUGGGCAAGAAAAAGACAGAAGAGGCCUUCCAAACAGGAAUGAGGAAUGAGUGCCCACACCCUGCAUUCAUGUUAGUUCUUGGGAAGCACUUAGGGCAUCUGAGCAGAGCUACAGGACAGAGCAUUUCCACCACAGGUUCACAAGCUAAAGACUCCAAGUCAAACCCCCACUGACAAAUAAAUAUGAAAGGCCCAAGAGGUGACUCAGUGAGUAAAAGUGUACACAACCAAACCAGACAACCCAAGUUUAAUCCCAUAUCCCCAGAUUGUCCCAUGACCUCCACUUAUGCACAUGCACAAAAUAAAUUAAUGUUAAAUU
ensembl:lincRNA Gm17435 predicted gene, 17435